rnacentral:rRNA from 1 species
UACAGAGGGUGCAAGCGUUAAUCGGAUUUACUGGGCGUAAAGCGUGCGUAGGCGGUUCAUUAAGUCGGUUGUGAAAUCCCUGGGCUCAACCUGGGGAACUGCAUUUGUGACUGCAUCGCUGGAGUGCGGCAGAGGGGGAUGGAAUUCCGCGUGUAGCAGUGAAAUGCGUAGAUAUGCGGAGGAACACCGAUGGCGAAGGCAAUCCCCCUGGGCCUGCACUGACGCUCAUGCACGAAAGCGUGGGGAGCAAACAGG